rnacentral:rRNA from 1 species
GAGUUUGAUCCUGGCUCAGAUUGAACGCUGGCGGCAUGCCUUACACAUGCAAGUCGAACGGCAGCGCGGGAGCAAUCCUGGCGGCGAGUGGCGAACGGGUGAGUAAUACAUCGGAACGUGCCCAAUCGUGGGGGAUAACGCAGCGAAAGCUGUGCUAAUACCGCAUACGAUCUACGGAUGAAAGCAGGGGAUCGCAAGACCUUGCGCGAAUGGAGCGGCCGAUGGCAGAUUAGGUAGUUGGUGAGGUAAAGGCUCACCAAGCCUUCGAUCUGUAGCUGGUCUGAGAGGACGACCAGCCACACUGGGACUGAGACACGGCCCAGACUCCUACGGGAGGCAGCAGUGGGGAAUUUUGGACAAUGGGCGCAAGCCUGAUCCAGCCAUGCCGCGUGCAGGAUGAAGGCCUUCGGGUUGUAAACUGCUUUUGUACGGAACGAAACGGCCUUUUCUAAUAAAGAGGGCUAAUGACGGUACCGUAAGAAUAAGCACCGGCUAACUACGUGCCAGCAGCCGCGGUAAUACGUAGGGUGCAAGCGUUAAUCGGAAUUACUGGGCGUAAAGCGUGCGCAGGCGGUAAUGUAAGACAGUUGUGAAAUCCCCGGGCUCAACCUGGGAACUGCAUCUGUGACUGCAUUGCUGGAGUACGGCAGAGGGGGAUGGAAUUCCGCGUGUAGCAGUGAAAUGCGUAGAUAUGCGGAGGAACACCGAUGGCGAAGGCAAUCCCCUGGGCCUGUACUGACGCUCAUGCACGAAAGCGUGGGGAGCAACAGGAUAGAUACCUG